GGCCAGGGAUGGGAUUCGAACCCACAGUGUUCCGCUUACCGGGUAGAUGUCAUGUCCACUAGGCUACCAUGCGC
rnacentral:tRNA from 1 species